UGUAUCAAAAAAUCCCUUAUUAUUGCUCUACAAAACAUGUUUUGUUGAUGUGUGAUUUUCUUCUUUCUUUUCAGAUGUCCCAGUAAUAUAAAUUGGGCUUACACUGACAGUUGGACUUAAUUCUAUCAAACCUGUUCUGGAUUCCUUCUACCAGAUUCCUCAGGGUUCAGAAACUGGCAGGACAGUUAGAUUUUCUCUGUGCCACUGAUGUCAUAACUUGGCUCUGGAGGAACAACUUGCUCUUGGACAAGCCCAGAUCACUGGGGCAUAACAUCCAUAGGACUCGCAGGAAUUCAGCACCGUCUGCUCCAAGAGAAAGGAUGGAUCUGAGAAGAACAUGUUGGAUAACACGGCUCGUCUCAGGAUUGUGCCACUGUAACUGGCAGAUAAAUAGAUUUCCUUUUCACCCCUUUUGAAGUGCUGGUCUGUAAGAGCACCUGGUGGGCAACAGGAUUCCAGCUAAGCUGUUAAUACACUGAAUAGUGCAGGAGUCUGAACGUAGCGAGCUGUGAGCUGAAACACAGCAUAUAUAUAAUUUGUUAUAGAAUUUGGCACUCCCACUUCUUGGACAGAUUCUUCCUCCCUGCACUGGUAGCCCUGGGUGAACAGGAAAACACAGGAUGUGGCUGUGAACCUCGGUGCUUAUAAGAGUGUAUUUUGGAGUGUUUCCUCGCUGCAUUUACUGCCAGGACCUUCAGAGACCAGUCUCAGCUGGGACCCACACCUUUGCCCAAGUACCCUGUUUCAGCCCAGGUAUCUGUUCCUGAGCUCUGGCCAACAAAUUCACAUGCCCAGCCCUGCCUCUCACCUUGUUCCUGGACAGAUCACAGCCCUACAUGACAGAGAAGGUAUCUGGUGGAACAGCACAAUAGAUAAUUUGUCUCCAGGUCUGUCUCCUGGAUGUGUUCUGGACCUGUUCUGUGCCCUUGGCAUUCCUGGAGUUGUUGAUGGGUGCUGUUACCAGCAUCUGGUGUAGGCCCCUGAUGGACCUGAGAUCCCACAGCAGGAUGGCUACUUCUUGGCUAAGGCACUGCCUGUGCUGUGUUCACACUUGGCUCCCGGACCAUUCCUCUGUCAUGGGGUAGCCUGGCUUUUGUUUCUACCUAACAAUUACCAUGGCUUCAACUCCAUGGAUGACAGCAAUAUAGGCAUGUCAAAGACAAUGGAAUACCAUCACUAAAGCCAGGAAUGAGCAUGGCACAGAAGACUGCCUUACCUACAGCUGGGCUCUCACUGAUUUCUGCGGAAUUUUGGGGAAAAAAUGCUCAAAAAUAAGAGUUUUGGCAGUACUACAUGCUACCUUGUUGAUGCAGAGUCUGUGCUACUAAUAGCCACAGCCAGACAUUGAAGUGUCUGCUACACUGAGAAACCAUGAACCCACCUGCCAUGGUUGUGUGGGUGUCUGGGGUGCACUGACAUGAGUGGUUCAGAACAGUUUUGCUUUAACUGAAUGACUGAAGGAAUUCCUUAUUACUGUCAUGUCCAUCAAGGUGGAGGACAGUUGGACACAAAACAGUGCCCUAGCAGUAUGUAUGUUCAGAUAUUGCAAUUGUUGAAGUACCUUUAUCUAAACCAGGUGUCUAAAAACAGAUUCCCUAAAGCCAAGUAAAUUUCCUUGUACUGUCUGAGCUCACAACAAGAACACAUGGAUUGUGUUGCCAUGCGAAAAGGUUGUCAGAGAGGGGAGAACUUGAAGUCAGCAUCUGGAGAUUAGCUCCAUGGCUGAUUUGAUGCAGAUGAGCAACACAUGAUGCCACAGAGCAUGGAGAUGCCAGUUACCCUUCCUAUUGUAACCUGACAACAGCGACUCUUGGGAAAGUGUUGCCAGUCAAACUGUGACUGAAAAACAAUAAUUGAUGGGGUGAUCCAGGGACUACAUGAAUAAUCAUAAGUGUCUCUGCCUUAAAUUAUUUCUAAGUUAUUUCUAAUUGCACAAAGGUUUUAUAGUGAAUUUUACACAGCUGGACUUCUGUAGC
ensembl:lncRNA